CUUGCUGCUCAAGUUAAGUCGACGUAUCAUCCAUUUUGUUGUUUUGUUUUCUGCGACAAGUUUACAGUGCGUGGUUGUAAUAAAGUGCGGCGUGCUGGCAGGUUGAUUGGUUUAUUGAUUUAUCUCAAUCACUGCCACUGUUGAAUCCUUGAAUCCUGUGGUGGACACUGCUGAGAAGGUCUAUUUCAUCACAUCGAUUGUCGAUUAUUGGCUGGUGUUCCUAUGGAAGUUACAAAUCCUAUUUAAGGUGAAAUCAGUCUUUCUGAUAGCGAUUUCUUUGUACAAGACUUCGUGAAUGGAUGGAUUGACUCUCAAGGACAAUUAGAACGCCAAUGUGAAGACUGCACUCGUGAUAGAUGACAUCCAAACAACUAGCAAUCAAAACCAUCACCAAGUCAGACCGCAGAAGACAUCUCGAAGAAAACAUCGACCCACUCAGGACGAAUACCAUUGCGUAGAAGAUUUAGCGUUGAACACUACAAGUAAAGUUUACAUUUUCAUCCCAUUUCGGAAUUAAUAAUAAUAUGUACUACAUAAAAUAACUUUUGAAGUUAAAGAAUAGAUUGGAAAUUAAAUUUAUUUCCAAAAAAUGUCAAAUUUAAAUUCUUCAUUUGUUUAUUUCUUGUAAAUUAAUAUCUGAAAUAGGAUGAAAAUGUUUUAGAAAUGAUGUAAAAGUAUAAUUAUGAGCACAAUGGAUUGGAAUAAUUUUUUAAUUAUUGUUAUUCGUAUACAAUGAAGGGAAAGAAUGUACAACUGCUUCAAAAUGGUCGCUAACAAGGCAAAAUUGGUUAUUUUGUAAAAGUACAAGCUCAAAAUUAGCUUAAACUUGUAAAUUGUAUGAGUAUUUUAAAGUUUCUGUUUAUAACUUUAUAGCGAAAGACUGGCUCUUUCUUGUGCACACAAAAGUCAAACUGUACUACGUUCAGAAGUGCCCCAAAAUGGCCACCGAAAAACCACAAAUUUGUGAUUUUGUAAAAACACGCAGUGGAAAAUGGGUUAUAACUCAAAAACCGCAAGGGUAGUUUUAAAUUUAUUUUUAUAAUCUUAUAGAGAAAGAGUUGUUUUCUCACAUACGUUUAGCAUUUUUCCUGUACUGCGCCAGGAAGAACCUCAAAAUAGCAGCUGAAAAAUCACCAAAUUGUGAUUUUGUAAAAACACGCGGUGGAAAAUGGGUUAUAACUCAUAAACCCCAAGCGUGUUUUAAGUUUAUUUUUGUAAUUAUUUAGGGAAAGAGUUGUUUUUUCAUACGCGCCAAACAUUAUUCUUGUACUUGGUCAUAAAGUGCCCCAAAAAGGCUGCUAAAAAUCACAAAUUUGUGAUUUUGUGAAAACGCGCGGUGGAAAAUGGGUUAUAACUGGUGAACCAUAAGGGUAGUAUUAAGUUUAUUGUUAUAAUUUAAUAGUAAAAGAGUUGUCAUUUUCUAUGCGCUUAGCAUUUCCCUUGCACUGUGUAAGGAAGUGCCCCAAAAUGACCGCUGAAAAACCCCUAAUUUGUGAUUUUGUGAAAAUUUGCGGUGGGAAACGACAUAAUUAUUGAACCGAUGUAGUAUUUUGUACUUUUUCUGCAUAUUUUGUAAGCGACAUUUAGUUUUAUUGCAUUUCUUGUUUUUGUAAUAAUUAGUAUUUUGGAAUUUGCGGAAAUUUUAAGUUUACUUUAAGUUUAUAACUUUUAACUGUUUUCACAAUUCAAACAUGUAUUCUGUAUUUUAAGCACGGCGAAUUUUGUUAAAAAUUUACUGUCAUACUCAAAAUGUAUUGAAAUCAAUUAAAAAUCCGUCAAAACA